rnacentral:rRNA from 1 species
CCUACGGGUGGCAGCAGUGAGGAAUAUUGGUCAAUGGGCGGAAGCCUGAACCAGCCAAGUAGCGUGCGGGAUGAAGGCCCUACGGGUCGUAAACCGCUUUUGCACGGGGAUAACACCCUCCACUUGUGGAGGUCUGCAGGUACCGUACGAAUAAGGAUCGGCUAACUCCGUGCCAGCAGCAGCGGUUAUACGGAGGAUUCAAGCGUUAUCCGGAUUUAUUGGGUUUAAAGGGUGGGUAAGCGGUCGGGUAAGUUAGAGGUGAAAUCCCGAGGCUCAACUUGGGAAUUGCCUCUGAUACGGGUGGGCUAGAGAGUAGGUGCGGUAGGCGGAAUGUGUGGUGUAGCGGUGAAAUGCUUAGAGAUCAUGCAGAACACCGAUGGCGAAGGCAGCUUAC